GUAAACUAGUGGUUCUGUGCGCAAUACUACACAAUAUCGCGGUAAGGAGUAGCGUAGAGCUUCCUCAGACAGAGGAAUUGCCUGAUGAGGAGCCAGGGGUUGUUCGACACUUCGGUGGGGGGAGUGUUACACGGAGGGGGAGCCAAGUCAGGGCAAGCAUUGUUGCUGAAUAUUUCAGCUGAAUGAUCACACAAACUGUGGACGAGAACAACGGCAGACCUCUCAGCCCCCUUCCCCUUCCCAGUCCCCCUCCCCUUCUCACUCCCCCUCCCCUUCUCACUCCCCCUCCCCUUCGCAGUCCUCCUCAGCUUCCCAGUCCCCCUCAGCUACCCAGUCCCCCUCAGCUUCCCAGUCCCCCUCAGCUUCCCAGUCCCCCUCAGCUUCCCAGGCCCACUCCACUUUCCACUCCCCUUCUCACACCACCUCUCUAUCUCUUUCUGUGACCCCUUCUCCUCCUUCCCAUACCCCUUCUCCUUCAACUUCAAACUCACCUUCUCAGCCCCCCUCACCCUCUAUUGGCUUAACUUUCUCUCCGCCCCCCUCGCCCUCUCAAUCAGACCCACCCUCUGAAAUUACAUCCCCAAUCCAGCCUCCUUCCCCCAUCCAGCCUCCUUCCCCCAUCCCUCCUCCUUCCCCAAUCCCUCCUCCUUCCCCAAUCCCUCCUCCUUCCCCCAUCCAGCCGCCUUCCCCACCCAGUGAGUGGGCAGAAGAAGCCCCUGCUGAAUUAACUGUCAACCAUCAUGUUGCAGAGGAAAAUGUUGCCGUUGGAGAUCCCACAUCUUUUGCGGACAUUAUUGGCAACAUGAGGAUACAUCUCCAGGCCUUGCUGGGUCUUGUUGACCAAAUGCAAACGUUGUUUUAAUUUUUGUUUAAAAAAAAAUAAAAUAAAAUAUGUUUAUAUUAUAAAA